UACAGAGGGUGCAAGCGUUGUUCGGAAUUAUUGGGCGUAAAGAGCUCGUAGGCGGUCUGUCGCGUCGGCUGUGAAAACCCGGAGCUCAACUCCGGGCCUGCAGUCGAUACGGGCAGACUGGAGUUCGGCAGGGGAGACUGGAAUUCCUGGUGUAGCGGUGAAAUGCGCAGAUAUCAGGAGGAACACCGGUGGCGAAGGCGGGUCUCUGGGCCGAUACUGACGCUGAGGAGCGAAAGCGUGGGGAGCGAACAGG
rnacentral:rRNA from 1 species